rnacentral:tRNA from 1 species
GCGCUCGUAGCUCAGUGGAUAGAGCAUCUGGCUUCGAACCAGAGGGCCGGGGGUUCGAUCCCCUCCGAGCGCA